AUACUUACCUGGCAGGGGAGAUACCGUGAUCAAGAAGGCGGUUCACCCAGGGCGAGGCUCAGCCAUUGCACUUCGUGAUCAUUGCACUACCGUGAUCAAGAAGGCGGUUCACCCAGGGCGAGGCUCAGCCAUUGCACUUCGGCUGUGCUGACCCCUGCGAAUUCCCCAAAUGUGGGAAUCUCGACUGCAUAAUUUCUGGUAGUGGGGGACUGCGUUCGCGCUCUCCCCUG
ensembl:snRNA U1 U1 spliceosomal RNA